GACGAACGCUGGCGGCGUGCUUAACACAUGCAAGUCGAACGGAAAGGCCCUGCUUUUGUGGGGUGCUCGAGUGGCGAACGGGUGAGUAACACGUGAGUAACCUGCCCUUGACUUUGGGAUAACUUCAGGAAACUGGGGCUAAUACCGGAUAGGAGCUCCUGCUGCAUGGUGGGGGUUGGAAAGUUUCGGCGGUUGGGGAUGGACUCGCGGCUUAUCAGCUUGUUGGUGGGGUAGUGGCUUACCAAGGCUUUGACGGGUAGCCGGCCUGAGAGGGUGACCGGCCACAUUGGGACUGAGAUACGGCCCAGACUCCUACGGGAGGCAGCAGUGGGGAAUAUUGCACAAUGGGCGGAAGCCUGAUGCAGCAACGCCGCGUGCGGGAUGACGGCCUUCGGGUUGUAAACCGCUUUCGCCUGUGACGAAGCGUGAGUGACGGUAAUGGGUAAAGAAGCACCGGCUAACUACGUGCCAGCAGCCGCGGUGAUACGUAGGGUGCGAGCGUUGUCCGGAUUUAUUGGGCGUAAAGGGCUCGUAGGUGGUUGAUCGCGUCGGAAGUGUAAUCUUGGGGCUUAACCCUGAGCGUGCUUUCGAUACGGGUUGACUUGAGGAAGGUAGGGGAGAAUGGAAUUCCUGGUGGAGCGGUGGAAUGCGCAGAUAUCAGGAGGAACACCAGUGGCGAAGGCGGUUCUCUGGGCCUUUCCUGACGCUGAGGAGCGAAAGCGUGGGGAGCGAACAGGCUUAGAUACCCUGGUAGUCCACGCUGUAAACGGUGGGUACUAGGUGUGGGGUCCAUUCCACGGGUUCCGUGCCGUAGCUAACGCUUUAAGUACCCCGCCUGGGGAGUACGGCCGCAAGGCUAAAACUCAAAGGAAUUGACGGGGCCCCGCACAAGCGGCGGAGCAUGCGGAUUAAUUCGAUGCAACGCGUAGAACCUUACCUGGGUUUGACAUGGAUCGGGAGUGCUCAGAGAUGGGUGUGCCUCUUUUGGGGUCGGUUCACAGGUGGUGCAUGCCUGUCGUCAGCUCGUGUCGUGAGAUGUUGGGUUAAGUCCCGCAACGAGCGCAACCCUUGUUCACUGUUGCCAGCACGUUAUGGUGGGGACUCAGUGGAGACCGCCGGGGUCAACUCGGAGGAAGGUGGGGGUGACGUCAAGUCCUCAUGCCCCUUAUGUCCAGGGCUUCACGCAUGCUACAAUGGCUGGUACAGAGAGUGGCGAGCCUGUGAGGGUGAGCGAAUCUCGGAAAGCCGGUCUCAGUUCGGAUUGGGGUCUGCAACUCGACCUCAUGAAGUCGGAGUCGCUAGUAAUCGCAGAUCAGCAACGCUGCGGUGAAUACGUUCCCGGG
rnacentral:rRNA from 1 species